UCCCUGGGGGACUAGUGGUUAGGCCAUGGCGCUCUCACCAGUGUGGCCCGGGUUCGAUUUCCGGUCAGGGAA